rnacentral:rRNA from 1 species
CAGCCGCCGCGGGAAAACAGAGGGUGCGAGCGUUAAUCGGAUUUACUGGGCGUAAAGCGUGCGUAGGCGGCUUCUUAAGUCGGAUGUGAAAUCCCUGAGCUUAACUUAGGAAUUGCAUUCGAUACUGGGAAGCUAGAGUAUGGGAGAGGAUGGUAGAAUUCCAGGUGUAGCGGUGAAAUGCGUAGAGAUCUGGAGGAAUACCGAUGGCGAAGGCAGCCAUCUGGCCUAAUACUGACGCUGAGGUACGAAAGCAUGGGGAGCAAACAGGAUUAGAUACCCCGGUAGUCCCUGUCUCUUAUAA